rnacentral:rRNA from 1 species
AGAGCGAACGCUGGCGGCAGGCCUAACACAUGCAAGUCGAGCGCCCGUAGCAAUACGGGAGCGGCAGACGGGAUAGUAACACGUGGGAACGCGCCCUUCGGUUCGGAAUAACUCAGGGAAACUUGAGCUAAUACCGAAUACGCCCUUACGGGGAAAGAUUUAUUGCCGAAGGAACGGCCCGCGUCCGAUUAGCUAGUUGGUGAGGUAAUGGCUCACCAAGGCUACGAUCGGUAGCUGGGU